rnacentral:rRNA from 1 species
AAACCUACGGGGCGCAGCAGUAGGGAAUCUUCCACAACGGGCGCAAGCCUGACCCAGCAACGCCGCGUGAAGGAAGAAGGCUUUCGGGUUGUAAACUUCUUUUCUUGGGGACGAAGAAAGUGACGGUACCCAAGGAAUAAGCCACGGCUAACUACGUGCCAGCAGCCGCGGUAAUACGUAGGUGGCAAGCGUUAUCCGGAUUUAUUGGGUGUAAAGGGCGUGUAGGCGGGAUUGCAAGUCAGAUUGGAAAACCACGGGCUCAACCGGUGGC